rnacentral:tRNA from 2 species
GGUCGAUUAGCUUAGUCGGUAGAGCGUGGUACUAAUAUCGGCAGUUGGCUGCAGAGGAUAUCAAUGCCAAGGUCAUGGGUUCGAUCCCCAUAUUGACCA